GUUUUUUAGAUUUGACUAGCGAUUACUGUUGGGACUGGAGGAGACAAACUAGUAUACAUACAAGUCGAGCAAUAUUGCAAAUUAACACCACUCACCCUAGCAAAACUAAAAUGAGGCUUACAUCAUUUCAAGUGCAGAUUCCAUAUAUUACGUUCAAUGCAAGAUUUAAGACAAACCCAAGAAUCGACGCAAGGAAAAAAGUGCCCAAGAAGGUAGCUAUCCAUGAACAGAGUGGCGCUCUUCGUAAAUCCUGGAAAAUUUCUGGAUCAAACAAGAAUAUGGAAUUGGAAA